CAGCAUGACCAGAGCGCAUUUUAAUUUCAUUGAUCCAAACAAGCUUACACGGUAGUGAAAGUUGGUAGGCAUUUCCCCAUAGUUUGUUUAUAACCACGGCACUUGUUCUCUCACAAGUCAGUUCUCCUUCUCCAUCAAGCGGUCAAGAAACACCGGUAGCGGCAAGAGGGGCCACGCCAUGGCAAUAAGGAAUACAGCAGCUGGAUACCGGCGAAGCCUCAUCUCGAUCAGAUGGAAAUAGCGGCCAAGCAAGCGGAUUACCGAGUUCUGUGGGAAAAAUAAGGUGCUCCAGCUCGGGAUACAACGUCUGAAAGACACUCAAAUCCGCCACCACCACCUCGUUACGCGUCGGCUCAGGAGAAACCGGCUGCGAUUUGAAGGAAUCACCGGACAGGCGCCGUUCCUGUGGUGCAGAAUGUACCGCGUCCUGGAAUGCUUCAACUUCGAGAUCCUCACUGUCCUCCUCGCUGGAGAUUUCCACUGCAUUCAGCAUGUUGGAAACCCUUUCCAUUAGUUGUGGUAAACGCCUGGCGUCCCCGGAAAAGCCGUUCACCAACGAGAGUUGACUGUCCCCGCUUAAAAGAGACAAAUGUGUAAAAACGUGUCCUCAAAUCAGGUUAUUUCAUUUCCUUGAAACAGUGAAAUUAUUUCUAUGCCCUUCACUCUUUCGUGAUCUUCUGCAGCUGCUAAGCUGUACUCAGUCUCAAGCAUUUUGGCUUGUAAGAAUCUCAAUUCAAAACUAUA